GGAGAUUGCUCCUCUUAGAGUUUUUUCUGUGAGCCUAUAAUGCAGACCCCCAUUUAAGGGCUGACUAAGACUGGGGAAGGAUCUCCUUCUGGACAUUCCUCCUUUGUGGAGCCUUUCAUCGUAAGCCUAAAUCUUGGGAUACAGGUCACUGAGCACCACUGAAAAGAGCCUGGUUCUGCACCCUCUCUUCCAGUACUGACAUUAUAGAUAUUGAUGAGAUCCCUUCUGAGCUUUCUCCAGAAUGAACAACAACCUCAUCUCCCUCAGCCAUUCCUCAUAUGACAGUGCUUUUCACACUGAAUCACGGGGUUGUAAGGUUUGGAAGGGACCUCUGAGGGUCAUCAAGUCCAGCUCCUUGCUAAAGCAGGUACCCUACAGUGUGCCACACAGGUGGCUUUGCUCCAGUCACUGCUUACAAAUCCCACAUCUCCUGGUUGUACUCACCUUAAACUCCUCCCAUUUGGGGAUGGAGUCCAGAGGAACGCUGAUUUUCUCUAAUAUACCAUGAGAAUCUAUACUACUUUAAUUCACUGGCAGACCCCGUCAUGCACAGAUCAAGGUUCUUUGGGAAGAAAGCUGAGAUAUAGUGCAUUCAUCUUGCAGAUGCUGAAGUACAGACAAUGUGAUUCUGCUAGGGCCAUGAGGAAGUCCACUAGACAAGAAGAGAUUAGAACUCUGAUGCUGGGCACAUCAGGUCAGCGUUGUAGUCUUGCGGUUACAAGGACUCAAGCUGCCAAGGUGAAAACUGGUAAUUAAGUCAGACCAUCAGCUUCAGAUGAUGGCUUUGCAUUCAGCUCCCCAAACUUUGUACUGUGCAGCAGACUGCAAUACACAGUCUGAGGGGAUGGAAAUGGUAUCACAUUGCACUAUGAAAUGGAUGAGCCACACACAUCUCGAACAGGAGCUAAAGACAACAAGACAACAGCUCUCCAGAUUAAUACCUACCUAAAAAGAUCAGUACAACACUAUGCUGGCCUAAUGGUUGUCAGAACAAGCAAUAAGCCAUGACACAAACAUGGUGAGAACAUAAGCAGGGGCCAGAGAAUAAAAACCAGAACUAAUAAAGUGUCAUAUUUUAACACAUCAAUGUGUACACUUACAUAUAGUUCAGACACUCUUUCUGCUUCAUCUCCAAAUGCAAACCAAAUGCCCAUAAAGCAAUGUCUCCCAAACUACCUUAGGUCAACAUUAUGAAUCACAGACACUGCAGCAUCUCUCAGGGCAGUUGCUGGAACCAGUGUGAUAGUUCAUUGAUCCACAUGCAGAUAAUUCAAGCAAAUCCAUCAAAAUUUAGACACUUGUCUGCUUUUCUGUUAGUGACCUUCAUAGUAGUUUCAAAGGUUAUUUAUCAGCCUCAGAGUAGCUGAUUAUUUCUGUGCUAUGAUUUUCCUGAAGAUAUUUUGGCUAUUCCAUUUGACUGCAUGUUGCUAGGCCGCACAGGUGCUAGUACUGAUCUUACCGUGGAAACAAAAAUAAAUAUGAUUUCUUUUUAUCAGCUUCUGUUGGAUGCAUACAUCAAGCAAAAUAACAUCUUGACACAAGUGACAUUUACAUACUCAUUCCAUCAGAGUGCAGCGGAUGCAUACCACUUACUUCCCUGAAGAUGAUAGGUGUGCCAGCAACCAGGCUUGAUGUGUUGCAUAUUAGCAUCUUCAAUUGCAGCACAGUUAACCUUGUCUUUUUUUUCCCUGAAGCAUUACACGUUGUACUUCCCUGGCAUAUAUCAUCACAAGGUGUAAACUAUAGAGAUAUUUCAAUUACUAUAGAGUUGACUGUGGGGUUAUACUUUAAAUCUUAGGCUGUGGCACAUAUUGUCAUACCAUUCAAAUACCUCCAACCUGCAUACAGUGGCUCACAUAUUCGCAUUCACGUAUAAAAUCUUUAGUUUAUUGACUACAUUUCAAACUUGACAGAGAGGUGCUGAUCUCAGAGAUAAUCAGCUCAUUGAUCCAGCUGGACUAACACUGCACACACAUUGAAUCAGUUUUCAAAUUCAGCUUGAGGCCAUCUGAUUGCUAGAUCUGAUAGAUGGUACCAUUGAAAGUGAGUAAAGAACCCAGG
ensembl:lncRNA